CGGGACGGGCAGCCGCGUGACUGAGCCGAAAGGCUCUUUUAUGAGGAAAGUCCGGGCUCCGCAGGGCAAGAAUAACGGGUAACGCCCGCCGAAGGCGACUUCAGGAAAAGUGCAACAGAGAGAUACCGCUCUGCGGCCUGUGCCGUGGAGUAAGGGUGGAAAGGCGAGGUAAGAGCUCACCCGCCGCAUGGGAACAUCGCGGCGCUGUAAACUCUAUUCGGAGCAACACCGUGGAGGAAACAUUGGCCGGCCCGGCCGUUUCCGGGGAGGUGGCUUGAGCGUGCCGGCAACGGUACGUCGAGAUAGAUGGCUGUCGAUUACAGAACCCGGCUUAUAGUCCCGAUCG
rnacentral:RNase_P_RNA from 1 species